rnacentral:rRNA from 1 species
UCGGGAAUUUUGCUCAAUGGGGGAAACCCUGAAGCAGCAACGCCGCGUGAGGGAUGAAGGCCUUCGGGUCGUAAACCUCUUUUGCCGAGGACGAUGAUGACGGUACUCGGUGAAUAAGCCACGGCUAACUACGUGCCAGCAGCCGCGGUAAUACGUAGGUGGCAAGCGUUGUCCGGAUUUAUUGGGCGUAAAGAGCGUGUAGGCGGCCAGAUAGGUCAGCUGUGAAAACUCGAGGCUCAACCUCGAGAUGUCGGCUGAAACCAUCUGGCUAGAGUCCGGAAGAGGAGAAUGGAAUUCCCGGUGUAGCGGUGAAAUGCGCAGAUAUCGGGAAGAACACCCGUGGCGAAGGCGGUUCUCUGGGACGGUACUGACGCUGAGACGCGAAAGCGUGGGGAGCGAACAGGAUUAGAUACCCUGGUAGUCCACGCCGUAAACGAUGGGAACUAGGUGUGGGCGGUGUCGACUCCGUCCGUGCCGAAGCUAACGCAUUAAGUUCCCCGCUGGGGA